rnacentral:tRNA from 1 species
CUUAAUGUGGCAGAUUAGUGCGUUGAAUUUAAGCUUCAUUAAUAAAGAAUAUUCUUUCAUUAAGA